rnacentral:lncRNA from 1 species
UAUCACCAGCCCAGGAAAAGAUCAAAAUUCAAAGUUCAGCUUCUACUGAGCACAUAUUGCUCUUGUACCUUUGUGAAGUCAAAAUAUUCUAAGAUGGCUGUGAUCCUGUAAUCCAGAUAGAGAAAACGAAACUGGAAAUACAAGGAACUCCCCAUGGUCUCACCCAAGCCUGAAGUUAUGCCUCAUAUAGUAUACGCGGAUUUGAGGAGAGGGAGAGAGGGCAAGCAACAAGUCGGCCAAGUCCCAUGGGGAACUCCGGCAGGAUCUUAAAGGUAAGCACAGAGA